rnacentral:rRNA from 1 species
UACGAAGGGGGCUAGCGUUGUUCGGAAUCACUGGGCGUAAAGGGUGCGUAGGCGGUCGGGUAAGUCUGAUGUGAAAUCUCCAAGCUCAACUUGGAAAUGGCAUCGGAUACUAUUCGGCUGGAGGAAUGGAGGGGAGACUGGAAUACUUGGUGUAGCAGUGAAAUGCGUAGAUAUCAAGUGGAACACCAGUGGCGAAGGCGAGUCUCUGGACAUUUCCUGACGCUGAGGCACGAAAGCCAGGGGAGCAAACGGG